rnacentral:ncRNA from 1 species
GCUAAGGCCCCUAAAUGACAGCUCAGUGGUAAAGGAUGUAGGGGUGCAGAGAUAGCUAGGAGGUUUGCCUAGAAGCAACCAUCUUUGAAAGAGUGUGUAAUAGCUCAUUGACCGAGCGCUCUUAAGUCGAAGAUGAACGGGGUUAAGCGAUCUGCUAGC